rnacentral:rRNA from 1 species
UACGUAGGUGGCAAGCGUUGUCCGGAAUUAUUGGGCGUAAAGCGCGCGCAGGCGGUCCCUUAAGUCUGAUGUGAAAGCCCACGGCUCAACCGUGGAGGGUCAUUGGAAACUGGGGGACUUGAGUGCAGAAGAGGAAAGUGGAAUUCCAUGUGUAGCGGUGAAAUGCGUAGAGAUGUGGAGGAACACCAGUGGCGAAGGCGACUUUCUGGUCUGUAACUGACACUGAGGCGCGAAAGCGUGGGGAGCGAACAGG